rnacentral:rRNA from 1 species
GACGAACGCUGGCGGCGUGCUUAACACAUGCAAGUCGAACGGUAAGGCCCUUCGGGGUACACGAGUGGCGAACGGGUGAGUAACACGUGGGUGAUCUGCCCUGCACUUCGGGAUAAGCCUGGGAAACUGGGUCUAAUACCGGAUAGGACCACUGCCUGCAUGGGUGGUGGUGGAAAGCUUUUGCGGUGUGGGAUGGGCCCGCGGCCUAUCAGCUUGUUGGUGGGGUGAUGGCCUACCAAGGCGACGACGGGUAGCCGGCCUGAGAGGGUGACCGGCCACACUGGGACUGAGAUACGGCCCAGACUCCUACGGGAGGCAGCAGUGGGGAGUAUUGCACAAUGGGCGCAAGCCUGAUGCAGCGACGCCGCGUGAGGGAUGACGGCCUUCGGGUUGUAAACCUCUUUCAGCACCGACGAAGCGCAAGUGACGGUAGGUGCAGAAGAAGGACCGGCCAACUACGUGCCAGCAGCCGCAGUAA